AUACUUACCUGGCAGGGCAGAUACCACGAUCACAAAGGUGGUUUUCCCAGGGCGAGGCUUAUCCAUUGAACUCUGGAUGUGCUGACCCCUGCGAUUUCCCCAAAUGUGGGAAACUAGACUGCAUAAUUUGGAGUAGUGGAGGACUGUGAUUGUGUUUUCCCCUG